CGCGUGAACAACUUGACCUUCAGAGGGGGAUAACAGCGAGAAAUCGGUGCUAAUACCGCAUGAGACCACAAGCCCGCAUGGGGAAGGGGUCAAAGGAGGAAUCCGCUGAAGGAGAGGUUCGCGUCCCAUUAGGUAGUUGGCGGGAUAACAGCCCACCAAGCCGACGAUGGGUAGCCGAGCUGAGAGGCUGAUCGGCCACACUGGAACUGAGACACGGUCCAGACUCCUACGGGAGGCAGCAGUGGGGAAUAUUGGGCAAUGGGCGAAAGCCUGACCCAGCAACGCCGCGUGAGGGAAGAAGGUUUUCGGAUUGUAAACCUCUGUCGCAGAAGACGAAGGAAGUGACGGUAUUCUGUGAGGAAGCCCCGGCUAACUACGUGCCAGCAGCCGCGGUAAUACGUAGGGGGCGAGCGUUGUCCGGAAUUACUGGGCGUAAAGGGUGCGUAGGCGGUUAAUUAAGUUGGAUGUGAAAUUCCCGGGCUUAACUUGGGAGCUGCAUUCAAAA
rnacentral:rRNA from 1 species